rnacentral:tRNA from 1 species
GUUUGCGUGGCCGAGAUGGCUUAUGGCACCACCCCGCUAAGGUGGAGUGCGGCUUGCUGCACCGAAGGUUCGAAUCCUUCCGCAAACG